rnacentral:rRNA from 1 species
AACGAACGCUGGCGGCAUGCCUAACACAUGCAAGUCGAACGAGACCUUCGGGUCUAGUGGCGCACUGGUGCGUAACGCGUGGGAACCUGCCUUUAGGUUUGGAAGAACGCAGAGGAAUUUGAGCUAAUACCGGAUGAUGUCUUCGGACCAAAGAUUUAUCGCCUUUAGAUGGGCUCGCGUUGGAUUAGCUAGUUGGUGGGGUAAAUGCCUACCAAGGCUACGUUACAUACAUGGUCUGAGAGGCUGAUCAGCCACACUGGGACUGAGAAACGGCCCAGAAUACUACGGGAGGCAGCAGUGGGGAAUAUUGGAAAGUGGGCGAAAGGAUGAUCCACCAAUGACGCGUGAGUGAUGAAGGCCUUAGGGUUGUAAAGCAAUUUUACCCGAGACGAUAAUGACAGUAUCGGGAGAAUAAGCUCCGGCUAACUUCGUG